rnacentral:rRNA from 1 species
CACGUAGGGCGCGAGCGUUGUCCGGAAUUAUUGGGCGUAAAGAGCUCGUAGGCGGCCUGUUGCGUCCGCUGUGAAAGCCCGGGGCUUAACCCCGGGUCUGCAGUGGAUACGGGCAGGCUAGAGGUAGGUAGGGGAGAGUGGAAUUCCUGGUGUAGCGGUGAAAUGCGCAGAUAUCAGGAAGAACACCCGUGGCGAAGGCGGCUCUCUGGGACGGUACUGACGCUGAGACGCGAAAGCGUGGGGAGCGAACAGG